CUAGAAGUAUGGAUAGAUUAAAAUUAAAAUAUUAUUCUAAAGGCAAUAGAGCUGGUAAAAUGUUAUCCCAAAAACUUAGAAAACAAAAGGGACAGAACAGAGCGGAAAAAUUAAUAAAUAAUGGAAAUAUAGUAACAACUCCCAAAGAAAUAGGACAACAAUUCAAUACAUUUUAUAGUAACUUAUAUAACAUACCUCAAACCCCAACAGUUGAAAACAUUGAAAAAUAUAUUGAAAGCAUAAACAAAUUCCAGUUAACAAAAGCAAAAAAUGGGGGGAUGGGUUUGCACCAAUAUAUACAAUAAAUGAUAAUAUCAAGUCCAAUAGGAUCUAUGUUGUUGUCUCCAAAGUUCUACUUGUUGCGAUAUCCAGAGGAUGUCAGUGACAUAAAGGAUGAUCCAAAGUAGUAAAAAUAGAAGAGGUCUUACUUACAGUUGACAGAGCUUAAACCAGCUCUGGUGUGAAUGGCUUACAGUGGUAUUAUCCCCGCUUGCAGGAUAUACGGCAAGUGUCCUCUUCUAUGUAGUGGCAGGUGACCAAGUUGGAAAUAAAAAUGGAAACAGUAUAUAGGGCAGGCUAACUGCUCUAUGUAACAGCGUAGGUGGUAUAAUCCCCACCUAGGAUUCUUUG
rnacentral:lncRNA from 1 species